rnacentral:rRNA from 1 species
AUUGAACGCUGGCGGCAUGCCUUACACAUGCAAGUCGAACGGUAACGGGCCUUCGGGUGCCGACGAGUGGCGCACGGGUGAGUAAUACAUCGGAACGUGCCCGAUCGUGGGGGAUAACGAGGCGAAAGCUUUGCUAAUACCGCAUACGAUCUACGGAUGAAAGCAGGGGACCGCAAGGCCUUGCGCGGACGGAGCGGCCGAUGGCAGAUUAGGUAGUUGGUGGGAUAAAAGCUUACCAAGCCGACGAUCUGUAGCUGGUCUGAGAGGAUGAUCAGCCACACUGGGACUGAGACACGGCCCAGACUCCUACGGGAGGCAGCAGUGGGGAAUUUUGGACAAUGGGCGCAAGCCUGAUCCAGCCAUGCCGCGUGCAGGAUGAAGGCCUUCGGGUUGUAAACUGCUUUUGUACGGAACGAAAAGCCUCCUUUUAAUACAGGAGGGUCAUGACGGUACCGUAAGAAUAAGCACCGGCUAACUACGUG